GCCAGACUCCUACGGGAGGCAGCAGUGGGGAAUAUUGGGCAAUGGGCGCAAGCCUGACCCAGCAACGCCGCGUGAAGGAAGAAGGCUUUCGGGUUGUAAACUUCUUUUAAGAGGGAAGAGCAGAAGACGGUACCUCUUGAAUAAGCCACGGCUAACUACGUGCCAGCAGCCGCGGUAAUACGUAGGUGGCAAGCGUUAUCCGGAUUUACUGGGUGUAAAGGGCGUGUAGGCGGGAGAGCAAGUCAGACGUGAAAUUCCAGGGCUCAACCCUGGAACUGCGUUUGAAACUGUUCUUCUUGAGUGAUGGAGAGGCAGGCGGAAUUCCGUGUGUAGCGGUGAAAUGCGUAGAUAUACGGAGGAACACCAGUGGCGAAGGCGGCCUGCUGGGCUCUAACUGACGCUGAGGCUCGAAAGCGUGGGUAGCAAACAGGAUUAGAUACCCCAGUA
rnacentral:rRNA from 1 species